AGAUCUAGAGCCUCCGCGGAGCCCGGAACCCCACGGAUCUGGCCGAGACCCGACGAUCGGAGAGGCACGGUGGUUGAAAGGAGGUCAGUGAAGGGGGGUUGAAGAUGCCGGUAGCUCAGCACAGUGGCACAACUGAGCAUUCCUUUCCUCAAUCUCCCGAUUCAUGUCAUCCCACUUCUGAUCUAGUUCCUCGAGCUUGGCCAGUAUCACAGCACACAUCUCCUCCGUCAUGUUCACUCGUGUUCCGAUGCGGUGGUAGUGGUGGUUUUUUGAUCGAAAUAGUUGUGAACCAAAUGUCACACCCUAGAUGCAACUCACAGAACAAAUUAUCCCCCAACGAUGAACUACGGAAUAUAUAUAUGAAGUAUACUAGAAUUUGGAUACACAUGGAUGAGGAACUCGCUAGUGUUCUCGAGCCGAAGCUUGCCACCGCAGAGCCAAUGAGUCCCAAAUCCAGUUCUUCUUUCCCUCACGACGACUUUUUAAUCCUCUUACAUGCUGCGCCAGCUAUGCUGCAGCGAUGCCCGUUCAUGGGCCUAUCUUAACUACCUUAGCCAUUCGGGCCCAACAAGGAUAAUGUUGGGCUUCCGUACCUGAUGGCCCACAACUUCGGCUUUACUGCACUUUAGAUAAAUAUCAUGUACGGUUCACUAGAGAAGCCUCCACCAGUGAUAGUUGCUAGUUAGUACAGGUCUUAUCUACAACCUUGCAUUAGCUAUCUCACUCUAGUUUGGCUAGCUGUCUGCUUACUCGAAGCUUGAGGCAUGUUUCUUUAAUAUAGUUUUCUUUUCUUCUUGGAUGUUUAUAGCACAUACGUGAUCUUUUGAAGUACUGCUAUAGAGAGGAAGACAAGUUCUUCUCAUUUAACAUCUUUUUUUUUUCAAUUUAUUUUUGUUAAACUUUUAGAUCAAUCGUUUGAAUUCUCCUCAAUAUUUGCUUGCUUCAUGUUCUCUUUGUUUUUGUGCAACAGUAUGAUCUUGGAAUAGGAAUGCUGCAAGACAAUUCAAAUAGAAGGUUAGUUUCAUCAUAUUAUAUGGUUAAAAUUACUUUAAAAUUAUAUGGUUAAAAUUACUUUGUAAUGGUUGACUGUCACUGUUGUUUGCAUUGGCAGAUCAUGGAUGGAAUUCCUGCAAGAGCCAAGCACAAACUGUUGUCAGCGCUUCUCUGUUGAUGUUUCGUUUCUCGUUACCACCUUUCUUGCAGACCGGUUAGGGUUAGGUUACACCAUCUGCUUCAGGUGAUUUCGGGAAUGUGGAAUGUUUCCUCUUCAUUUGAGAAGAAAGAGAGAGUGUUUUGUUCGAAUAUUACAGGUGCGUAUGUUUAUGCAUGGCUUUUCAGGGCUCAAAUCAAGGGGAAAAAAUAGACUAAUGGGCUGGUAAAUUUAUGUUCUGGUAAAAAUAGACUAAUGGCUUUAUUUAGUUCCAAGAAUCCUGGUGAACUCCGGAACUUAAAAUGAAAUCCUAAAAUUGUUUCUCUAACCUCCUAUCUCAAUAUGGGCUGUUCUUUUUUUUUUUCUUUCUGGUCAACUAUUUCCCCCAACUUACGGACCCAUCUCGGCCUGCAGGCCUGCCGAGGCCUCUUCUCUCCUUUCGUCGUUCGGUCCCUCUAAUUUCGCUCUUGUGCUUGCGCACCAGGCGCCAUCUCUCACCGCGCCAGGAGCUUUGCAGCGCCAGACGGCCCCGCUCCACACCACAAUAUUCUUCCUUGGAACCUGCGGGCUCCGCUGAGCCGCUGCGUGAUCUUCUAUUCGCGACUCUGUGUACCUCGCCGUGUUACAAUUGCCUUCACUUUACUUCAUCAUUGCUCUCUAACCUAGGUACUCGGUUAUGAACAGCGCGCCGGCUAAGCGAGUACCCGGUGAAGGCGAGCGCAACGAGCCCUAGCACAUGGCAUCCAUCGAAAACUACAUAAUUUUCAGAGUAUGGAAUUUUCAGUCCGCGGUGUGGCCAACAUUAUCUUUAUAUGAUUAUAUUUGCAAACAGAGUUUUUAAGUAACAACGCAAAUAAAACACUCUCGUGUCAUUGCUCUAAAGGGGGAGAAAGGAAUAACAGAAACAACACCGUGCCAUUCCCCAGAAACAAAGAACAACGGUAAAAGUGGUUCUAGAUGAAGCUUAAAUUGACCAUCGAUGGCGAUUGUAUCGACACGGCAAACAUCCAGACAGCUAGCAUUGACUGACUUGGCCUAUUGAGUACUCCGCGGAACUCGGUACGUCUUAUGACAAGUCUCGUUUGACUCGAAUUAUUGACCUUCACUGUCCUUCGUCAUUGCUCUCUAACCUAGGUACUCGGUUAUGAACAACGUGCCGGCUAAGUGAGUACUCGGUGAAGGCGAGCCCAACUUGCCCCAGCACAUCGCAUCCAUCGAAAAUACAGAAUUUCCAAAGUAUGGAAUUUUCAGUGUGCGUUGUGGCCAACACUAUCUUUAUAUGUUUUAUUUGCAAACCGAGUUUUUAAGUAACAACGCAAAUAAAACACUCUCGUAUCAUUGCUCUAAAGGGGGAGUAAGGAAUAACAGAAAUAACGUCGUGCCAUUCCCCGGAAACAAAGAACAACCGUAAAAAUUGGUUCUAGAUGAAGCUAAAUUGAUCAUCGAUGGCGAUUGUAUCGACACGGCAAACAUCCAGACAGCUAGCAUUGACUGACUUGGCUGAUACAUCCACUUCACUGUUGAGUACUCCAGGGAACUCGACAGGUCUUAUGACAAGUCUCGGUUGACUCGAAUUGUUGACCUUAGGACAGUGACCUUGAUUUCCUCAUCCCCUUUCCUAUUGUCUUGCGGUCCUGAUGCCCAUUACCCAGUGCCUACCAGUGUGUGCUUCUCCCUCCGAUUGUACAUACGUGCGGGUCCCACAUGUCAGCCCCUUCCAUCCUCUUUACUUUAUAAUCUCCAAAGCAUGGGCCGCCCUUCUUUGUUACCUGUAUGGCUGUAUCACCUCCCCUGCCGAUGAGUGCCCAUGCAUGCUGAUACUUUGGUACCAUCUGCUCCAACCAAGCACCACCUCUCAUGCAAGUCAACAUAGAUGGUAUUUGGUGUCAAUUCACUGGUUAUAUUUUUAAAUGAAUUUAAUAUAAAUUUUGAUUAUCUAUUGCUUCUAAAUUCCUGUCGAAAUUAAUUUGAUAAUUUUUUAACCUAUAAUAUCCUAUACUUCAUUUUAUGAGGAAACUAUCAGAAAAUGAAUUGUAAUUUUUAUGACUCAUAUCUAUUUCCUCUCUUUAUUAGAUAUUUUGCUUUCCAAUUGUAUGUAAUCAAACUUUUAUUUAUUUUUAUCAUUCGGAGUUUUAGUUUUUUAUUACUUCCAUGUCAAGAUGAUAUUCUGGACAAGAUUCCAAUCAACCUUUUGAAAAUCUAACCACUAUUGACAGCUUUUAGAAUAUUCAGUUUGAAAAUUUAGAAUACUCAUUGAAAGACAUAAUAUAAUAUUUUGUAUGUUUAUAUAAUAUCUUCUUACUGAAAAUAGUGGCCACACAGCUAUGUUAUCCAAAACACCACCUUUUCUUUAAGAACGGGGGAACGAUUGUUUUUUUUCUAUUUUAUUAAUAUGAUAUUUUAUAGUCAAUCCGGAGACUUGUUUUCUCUUAGCUUUGCCUUAUUAAAAUAACAAUUGAAGAUUCCGUAAUGUGUGGUUCAGAUAUUUACUUCCAUGCGAGUUUAUAUUUUGGCUCCAGUUCGCUGGUCUUCCUCUCGAGUCAGCGACCGGAACGAGAGAACAGAAUAUCUACACACGAUUGAUUGGAAUUUGGAAACUGCAAACCAGUAGCGCAAUGGCUCCUGCCAUGGAUCGCCUCCACAACCUUCUGGUCCUGCUCUUGUUCAUAGGUUGCCUCUUCAUAGAUGCUGCCGCCAAGCUUAACACCACAGCGCCUUGCCUCCCGGAUCAAGCUUCUUCCCUCCUCCGGCUAAAAGCUUCCUUCAUCGGUGACAACCUACCAUCAUGGCAAGCUGCAACAGAUUGUUGCCACUGGGAGGGCGUCACCUGCGACAUGGCCUUUGGAAGAGUCAUUUCUCUUGACCUCAGUGAGUUCCACCACCUAAUGAGCAGUCGUCUUGAUCCUGCGCUCUUCAACCUCACCUCUCUCAGGAACCUCAGCCUUGCAUCUGUUGACUUCAGAGGAGUCUCGCUCCCGGCUUUUGGGUUUGAGCGGCUCACGGAUAUCAUUUACCUCAACCUCUCUGAUACCGGUUUUAUGGGUAAGAUCCCAAUUGGAAUUGCGUGCCUCAAGAACCUUGUGACCAUUGACUUGUCUUAUAAUUACGAAUUGUAUUUUGAACGGCCAAGUUUCCAAACCAUCAUGGCAAAUAUGAGCAAUCUGAGGGAGCUUUAUCUUGAUGAAGUGGGUUUACAGAACAUCGGAUCGGAUUGGUCCACUGUUUUAGCAGACUCCGUUCCCCAGCUACAGAUUCUUAGCUUGCCCUGGUGUGGUUUAUCAGGUUCUAUCCACCCUUCAUUCUCAAGGCUUCGCUCACUUACGGUGAUCAACCUCAGAUACAAUGAUGGACUCACCGGCAAAGUCCCGGAGUACUUUUCUGAACUAUCUUCCUUGACCAUUUUAGACAUAUCAGGAAGUCAAUUUGAAGGGCAAUUUCCAACAAAAAUAUUCCAGCUAAAAAGUUUGAGGACGCUUGAUUUGUCCUGGAACCCCAUGCUUUCUGUGAGAUUAACAUAUUUCCCAGCUGGAAACAAUUUGGAAGUACUAAAUCUAGAAGGGACCAAUUUGUCUUAUGACACGCCAUUGGGGCAAUCUCGAGUCUUUAAAGACAUUGGGGCUUAGCACGAUGGGAAUUGAUAAUGAACUCUUCUCUUUGAUAUCUGAGCUUCCAGCAUUGGAUUACCUGCGACUCACUGGAUCAGAUUUGGAGAACCCGGUAUUAUCUUGGGUCAGCAAUCUUACCCAAUUGACAAACCUGGUGCUUGAAGGUUAUGACUUCUCAAACUCGGUUCCCACUUGGAUCGGCAAAUUGACAAGGCUGGAAAUUUUGACAAUAUGGGAUUGCAGUUUCUCCGUGCCAAUACUGUACCAGAUUAGAAAUCUUACUAAAUUGGCAGCGCUGGAGUUCACUGGUUGCGACUUAUCUGAGCAAACAAUGCCAUCAUGGAUAGGCAAUCUUACAAAGUUGACUUCUUUGACCAUUGAAGAUUGCAGUUUAUCUGGGCCAAUACCCUCUACAAUUGGAAACCUGAUCCAACUUGAAGAGUUGGUGUUCUGGGAUACUAACAUCAGCGGUGAGACUAUGUCCCUGUUACUUUCUUUCUAGAUACCUCCUUUUAUUUUGCAACUGUAGACAGAUCAUACACCUACUAUAUGACACGCCAUGCAUACACCGUUAAAAAAAUAAUAAUGAAUUUAAGUGAAGAAGAAAAUUUAACACUACCAAAUCGACAGAGUGAUCUUCAGAAAACAAGAAAAAGGCUUUGGCUAGUAAUUUUCGGCAAUGUUGAGAAAAGAAAAACACUGAUAUUUUCACUUUGAGUCUAUGACCAAUUUCCAUAGUUUAGUAGUUUGGAAGGUUAGAUGCCUUUAACACUAGUACACACGAGUCACGACUCAGGUCCUCUUUUCCUUCUUUUUUCUGUAAAUAUAGUAUUGGUCCAUUUACAAAUAUACCAAGGAAUAUUAAUUUUUUUGGACAGGCCUUUUUUUAUUAUUUUGACCAGAUUUACAUGUAAAUGUUCUCUAACGAUAAAUCAACUUUAGAAUAUAUCAUUUGUAGAUCGAAACACUGGAUCUGUUAAAAUAUAUAUUGAAUAUGUUGUGUUAAAAUUGUUCGGCUUUCCCUGGUCUAAGGCCUCUUUGAAACAAAGGAACAACAAAAGGAAGGACUAGGUUUUUUGAGCAUGGUCUCUCUCCCUCUCUCUCUCUCAAACCUGAGCGUGGUCUGGAUUUUCUACUUGUUAUGAUUUGUGAAGGAAGAGGACCCUUUCUUGUGGAAUUGGAAUUGGAGGGUGCAUUCCAAAAUUCCAAAAUUCAAACGGUUCUUUCCUUUCCUCCAGAACGCAGUUACUUUUGUGUCCUUACCCCCUCAGUGUCGUGGCUUCUUUAGGCCAGUCUCAAUGCACAAUUUCAUUGCAAUGUUACAAAAAUUGCAAAUUUGGUAACUGUGCAGGUAGGGUUUCAUGAGGAUGAAACUCCUCUCUCAUUUCAUGAAACUCCAUCCUCUCUCUCCUCAUAAAGACCUUGACAAAUCAGCAAAAUUGCUGAUGUGGUAUAGAAAUUAAUGCUGACGAAACUUUUUAUAACACUUCCACUAAGACUGGCCUUAGAUUGCAGCAACAUUCGGAUAUGUCUAGCUCCAAUGUAAUGAGAUGCUAAUUUGUUUCAAUUUCAUACUAGCGCUUUUAGUGUGAAGAAGCAUUAAUAAAGUCUACAACAUUCUAACUGUUGGUAUUCUACCCUAACAUGCAGGAAAAAUUCCGAAGUCUUUGUUCGCUCUUCCAGUCCUGCAGCAGCUUCAUCUAGUUAGGAAUCAGCUUGUUGGCCCACUAGAAGACAUUCCUGCUCUUUUAUCGUCACCAAUGCGGGAGAUCGAUUUAGGAGGUAAUCAAUUGACAGGCCCAAUACCAAAAUCACUUUUUCAGCUCACGAAUCUUGAGCGUCUUCUUCUAGCUGAGAAUCAGCUUGUUGGUUCACUAGAAGACAUUCCUGCUCCUUUAUCAUCACCAUUGCGGGAGAUCGAUUUACAAGGUAAUCAAUUGACAGGUCCAAUACCAAAAUCACUUUUUCAGCUCACGAAUCUUGAGUAUCUCAAUCUUGGCUCGAAUAAAUUGACAGGCACAAUAGAACUUGGCUCUAUACGGAGGUUGAAAAAUCUCAUUAUUCUCGACCUGGGUAACAAUAUGAUAUCACUCGUAGAAAAAGAAGGUGAUACGAUAUUCUCUUAUUCCCUUAAAAUCCAGACCUUAUACCUUGCAUCUUGCAACCUUACAAAAUUUCCGGAACCAUUAAAAUAUCUUGACACUAUUCAAUAUCUCGACCUUUCCAAUAACCAAAUCGAAGGGGCCAUACCAAGUUGGGUGUGGGAGAAACCACUGCUUCAGUUGAACCUCUCACACAACAUGUUUACUACUUUAGAGAAGUCUCCUACUGUUCAGAUGACACAUUUAAAUUCUCUUGAUCUCAGUUCUAAUAGAAUUCAAGGAAGCAUACCAAUACCAUCAACUCCAUCCGACCUGAUUCUGUUGGAUUACUCAAAUAAUAACUUCUCUACCAUUGAACCGAACUUUGGCAGGUAUCUUACAAAUGCCCACUACAUCAAUUUGUCAAAAAAUAAAUUAAGUGGCCAUGUACCACUUUCAUUUUGUAGUUUAAGCCAACUUGAGCACAUGGACUUAUCUUACAAUAACUUUAGUGGACCAAUUCCAUCAUGUCUUAUGGAAAGAGUUGACCCGAGCAUACUGAAGUUAAGAGGAAACAAAUUACAUGGCGUGCUACCUGAAAAUAUUAGAGAAGGAUGUAAGCUUCAGACAAUUGAUUUCAAUGAAAAUCAAAUUGAAGGUGCGCUACCUAGAUCACUAGCAAAAUGCCAAGACUUAGAGGUUCUUGAUGUUGGCAGUAAUCAUAUUGUAGAUUCAUUUCCAUCAUGGAUGGGUACUCUUCCAAAUCUUCGAAUUCUUGUGUUGAGAUCUAACAAACUCUAUGGCACUAUAAGGGAUCUUCGCAGGGGCUACCAACACUUCACAAGUUUGCAAAUAGUUGAUUUGGCCUCCAACCAUUUCUCUGGUGACUUACAUUCCGAAUGGUUUGAGAAUUUUAUUUCAAUGAUGAAUAACAGCAAUGAUGAGGGGCAGAUAUUAGAGCACCAUCCAACUGGACCAAUGACACGAUUGUAUCAAGAUACUGUCACUAUCACCUUCAAAGAUGCUGCUUUAAGCAUCACCAAAAUCCUUCGUGCUUUCAAAGUAAUUGAUUUGUCAAAUAACUCAUUUGAGGGUUCCAUUCCAAGUUCAAUUGGAAGACUUGCUUCACUUCACGGACUUAACAUGUCGCACAAUAACUUCACGGGAGAAAUUCCAUCACAACUUGGGAAGUUAACAAGGUUGGAAUCAAUGGAUCUCUCUUGCAACCAUCUCUCGGGAGAAAUUCCACAGGAGUUUACCUCUCUAACUUCUCUUUCCGUGUUGAACCUUUCGUACAACAACUUGACAGGAAGAAUACCGCAGGGAAACCAAAUCUUGUCAUUUCCCAGCAGUUCGUUUGAAGGCAAUGCUGGCCUAUGUGGAAUUCAGCUUUCCAAGGAAUGUGACCCUCGUCCAGAUUCAACCACCCCAAGCACAUUGGCUCCAGAACACAAUGCUUUGUGGCAGGAUAGACUUGAUGCCAUCAUGUUGUUCCUCUGUGCUGGCUUGGGCUUUGGCGUGGGUUUUGCAUUGGCAAUCAUAUGCGGUCCCUUUUACCACAUAGAAGAAUGGCUUUGCAAGCAUUUGUAUUAGUAAUAUAAGUUUUCAACAAGAAUAAUUAUGUAUGUUUGUGCUGUACUCGUUAUUAGAUGAGACAUCUUAAAUCCACUCAGUUGUAAUUACGUUGUAACUAGUCCAUCAACCCGUACUUCCGCAUGGGCAAAUAUUUUUAAAAGCUGUUGUAUUUGAAAAUUAUUUAGAAAUUAAACUCCUAGCUAAUAAUCAAAAUUGUUUACUUAUUACUCUCACAUUUUUUCAAUACUUCAACAUAGUACUCAUAUAGAUGUGUACUCAUCUUUGUCUAGUUGUGAUUGAUUUUUAAUUAGUAAUUACUCUAUACACUUUUUCAUCCACAUUCACACCUUUCCAUUUUUUAUUGCACCUCCGUACAUUGUGUUUAGCAUCAAAAUUAAUAUUUUUCAUCACUUUAUCACAUACAUGUAUAAAUGGUCUACAUGGUAACACUCAUCAUGUCUAUAUACCUUAACUUAGUAUUUCUAUAUUAACAAUGACAUAAACUAGUAAUUUAGAAUCAUAUAUUAGUUUGUUUUUAGACAUUUCUAUAUGAUGCAUAUGCAUGAAGAUAAUUAGAUUAAGAAUUAGGUGUUUACUUUAGAUUAUUUUUAAAAAUGACAUACAUGAGUAACUUAGAUACAAAUUUAGAAUGGCAUUUUAAGUUAUGCUUUAUAAUUGUAGGCAUGGGUAAAUUGGAUGAAGAUUAUGGGGUUACUUUACAUUAUUUUUUUAUAAUGGUAGGGCUUGGUAAUUUAGAUAUAGGUUUGGGGUUUACAAUGACAGUGGUGGGUAACUUUUUAGAAAAUAUAAUAGACCAAUGACUAUGAUUAAUAUAGUUUGCAUGAUUGAUAUUUGAUAUUUAUGAUUUUUGUGAGAAGUAAUUGUGUUUUUUUAGCAUAUCUCUUAAGAACCAAUGCAGAGUCUCCAAUGGAAAAAAAUGAGGCCACAUUGCUAUAAAACUAUUACCUUGAGCUCCUUCUCAUUUGUUAAAUAUUCAAAAACAUACUUAUAUAGAUAUAUAAUUAUUAUCUUCACCCGAUUGCGAUAGAUUUUAGUUUGUAAUUUCUCUUUAACAUUUUCAUCCAUAUUUAUAAUCUUUAAUUUUUCACUUUGCAUUGCAAAUAUGCGCUUGAAUUUGUUUAAUGGAACCUAAGUUUGAGCUAACAUUUUAACAUAAAAAUUUAUAUUCCCAUCACUUUAAUUCUCUAUAUCUUUAUAAAUGGUGAAAGACAUCUUGCCUAUAUACCUUAAUUAUUAUAUGAUAUACCUAUAGUGUAAGAAAUAGAUGAUUUAGAAUCAUAUAUUGGUGUAUAUUUUGAAUUAAGGUUAUUUGGAUUCAAAUGUAGGGUUACCUCAUGUUAUUUUUAAUAAUAGCAUAUAUGGGUAAUAUAGAUGCAAAUUUAAAGGGUCAUGUUAAGUUAUUUUUUAAGUAUUAGUGGUGGGCAAUUAGUUGGUAAUUUAGGAGGUUAUUUUAAAUAUUAUUUAUAAUGGUACAUGUGGGUAAUUUUGAUAAAUAUUAGGGGUUAGUUUAGUUUAGUUUAUAUAAUAGCAUAUGGGUAAUUUAGAUGUAGAUUUAGGGGUUACUUUAGGCUAUUUUCAUAAUGGCAUAGGUGGAUAAUUUUUUUUAGAAAAACAUAAUAGAUCUAAUGGCUAUGAUGAGUUGAGUCUACAGAUUGAUGGCCAGAUGUUUUGCUUUUUUAUGAGAAUUUCUACGAUAAGAAAUGCAGCGGUGGUCCUCUCUAUAAAAUUUGCAUGGGUCUUAAAGCAGACAAACUUAUUAAUUAAAUAUUUUUUAGUUAUCUUUAUUCUGGGUCUCUUCUAGGCCAGCCCAGUCCAUGUCCAGAUGAGUCUGUUUCCUCCCGAUCCGUUUUAGUCCCUCUGAACGGCGGCUCAUGUUCCUCGCGAAAAGAACGGAGCAACGAUGGCUUGCGGCGGCGCUCCAUGGCAGUGGCACAUCAUAAAGGCGGUGGAAGCAUCCAACAUGUGGUUGGACUGAAACAUUUUCAUGAUUAUUCCUUCUGUGAAGUUAGUCACCUUGCAAUGUGCAAGCUAGAAACAAUAUCAUUGCAAGCAUAAUAAGGUACAACAUCUGCAAUGUUUCUCAUGAAUGUGUGGAAUGGCCUCCGGACACGACGUCCGCAAAACGGUCAGGAAUAAUGAACCAAGUAGCAAUUAAUGUGCAGGCGCCGUAUGUAGAGCAGGUUGGGAUUUGGGAAGUCCGGUGUCACUGCAGUCCACCUCGUCCGGUAGCACGAUUACACCUGCCUGACGAGGAGAUGGUACCGCUACAUGUGCUAAGGACGUCGAGUUGUCGAGGUCCCAGCUAGACGCGCGACUCUCUCUUGGUGCAGCCGUUUCCCUCUCCGGGCAGUGGCGAUCUCACUCACCGGCGCAGCUCCGUGCAGCCGCUACAUGUGCACCUCCAUUAUUGAUUAUGUCGGCCACUGAUAUUCUCUUUAUCCAAUCCAAUCAAAUCCAAUCGUAUUGGCUGGGUAGGAGUGGGCGAGGCGAGGCAAGGCCCAAGAUUAUCCCACUGCUAAAAAAAUUAAGAAAUAAACUAAUCUUGUUGCUUUGAAACGCGUGCUAAUUUUUAGAAAGGGACCACCAGAGCAUUUCUCUUCUAUGAUUUCUCUCUUUUUCUAAGUGUCCACUUAGGAUUCUAGGUAGUUUCACCUGAAGGCUUCAGAAGGAGUCUCUAAUUAGUAAUAUUUACUGAAUUUCAUAAGGCCCCGUUUGGAUCAUUGGAAUUGAAUUCCAUCAUAAUAAUCAUAAUUUAGACACAAAUUAAUUAAGCUAAUAUAAUUGUAUGUGAAAUAUAGUUGUAUAUUAUAGUUGGUGAUAUGGGAGAGAUACUUAUGUGCUGCACUUCUACCAUAGAGAAGCGAGUCUAAGAGCGUGCUAUAAGAAUUGAAUUCCAUUCUAAUAACCAUAAUCUAUAGAAUCAAUUUCCAUCUCCCACCCCAUGAAUUUAAGAUAAGCUUAUAUAUAAACUUUGGAAAGUUGUGGAAUGCCACAUUCCAACAUAAAUUAGCCUACUCCAUUAAAUAGAUUCCAAUUCCUUCAUACCAAACGGGGCCUAAGUGAUUUUCAAAGAGAGUUUUUUUUUGACAGCACUCCAAGUCUCCAACUUGAUAUCAACUGAAACUGAAAGCCGGCCAAGGUGCUGGUUGUAUCUGAGUACCACUAUCCAGAAUCUCCACUUGUAUUGGCGGUGGCCAUGGAUGCUUCAGAAGCUCACCAUCUCUACUUGGCUGAAUGGCGUCCACAAUAUUGGCCUUAGAUCAUCUGCACUGUGCAAUGCAUGUUACCGGCAUUACCCUGAACACCUUGAGGGCAUUGUAGACACCAGUGCCAAUACACAGCAGAAACAUGUCAUCUGUUAGAGCCGGGCUCUCGCUGGUGAUUUGGAAGUCGCAGACGUUGUUGCUGUUGAUUGUGGUGAACAAAGUUAGGGUGGUGGCUAGAGCACUCGCGGUCGGUGGAACACAAGCAUUGUGGAUAUGACUGGGCAUUGAACAUCUGGUGGGCGUCACGGAUUAGCACUCCGUAGUGGUGAUAGAGAUGGCUAGGGUGGCAUCCUGGUCAGAGUAGAGGUGGAUGUAGAGGGAAGUGCCGAGGAUGCGGUCUUGGACACCAGAAUGCAGGUGUCAUGGUAAAGGGAAGUCUUUGGACACCUUGUGGGCGCCAUCUCUAGAACCUCGGUGGCCCUGACAGAACGAUGCGGAAAGCUGUUGGUUAUGCCGAGGUCAUGGCUGUAGGCACUUGAAAGCAGGUGGCCUGGUUAGGACCCGCCAUCGAACACCUGGUGGGCGCCACUGGUUGAAGCUCCGUGGCCGUGAUGAGAAUGACAACAGAGGCAUCCCGUGGUGGAAAGGAGGUCAGUGAAGGGGGGUUGAAGAUGCCGGUGGCUCAGCACGGUGGCACAACUGAGCAUUCCUUUCCUCGAUCUUCCGAUUCAUGUCAUCACACUUCUGAUCUAGUUCCUCGAGCUUGGCCAGUAUCACAGCACACAUCUCCUCCGUCAUGUUCACUCGUAUUCCGAUGCAGUGGUAGUGGUGGUUUUUGAUCGAAAUAGCUGUGAACCAAAUGUCACACCCUAGAUGCAACUCACAGAACAAAUUAUCUCCCAACAAUGAACUACGGAAUAUAUAUGGAGUAUACUAGAAUUUGGAUACACAUGGAUGAGGAACUCGCUAGUGUUCUCGAGUCGAAGCUUGCCGCCGCAGAGCCAAUGAGUCCCAAAUCCAGUUCUUCUUUCCCUCAUGACGACUAUUUUAUCCUCUUACAUGCUGCGCCAGCUAUGCUGCAGCGAUACCCGUUCAUGGGCCUAUCUUAACUACCUUAGCCAUCGGGCCCAACAAGAAUAACGUUGGGCUUCCGAACCUGAUGGCCCACAACUUCAGCUUUACUUCACUUAAGAUAGUUGCUAGUUAGUAC
rnacentral:lncRNA from 1 species